rnacentral:rRNA from 1 species
GCCUACGGGAGGCAGCAGUGAGGAAUAUUGGUCAAUGGUCGGGAGACUGAACCAGCCAAGCCGCGUGAGGGAGGAAGGUACAGAGUAUCGUUAACCUCUUUUGUCAGGGAACAAAGGCGGGGACGUGUCCCCGGAUGAGUGUACCUGAAGAAAAAGCAUCGGCUAACUCCGUGCCAGCAGCCGCGGUAAUACGGAGGAUGCGAGCGUUAUCCGGAUUUAUUGGGUUUAAAGGGUGCGCAGGCGGUCUGUUAAGUCAGCGGUCAAAGCCCGGGGCUCAACCCCGGCCCGCCGUUGAAACUGGCAGG